AAGUCGUAACAAGGUCUCCGUAGGUGAACCUGCGGAAGGAUCAUUAACACGUAUCCACGUAUCAAGCAAACGAGAAUUAGUUAUCCCCUACCUUGUAAGGAGAAUGAGAAUGGGCCUCAGCAGUUGGGUAUGAAUGGACUCCUCGGAGUAACUAACUGUGCGCUUGCUUGCAUAUUAAUUUAUGCAGACUCUGUAUCUCGUAAUCAAGGCAUUGCCGUCCGAGCGUGAGAUCCCACUUCUUCUGUGGCUCGGGGAGUGCACUCUUAUUAAAAUUAUAACGUUAAUCACCACCUUUUUGCUAGUUGACUUUAUAUUGUGGCUCUUUGUGCUUGUCGCAUGGAUCACACGUUUAUUUAUUUGAACGUUAAAAAUACAACUCUUAGCAAUGGAUAUCUUGGUUCUC
rnacentral:misc_RNA from 1 species